UGGGGAAUAUUGCACAAUGGGCGCAAGCCUGAUGCAGCCAUGCCGCGUGUAUGAAGAAGGCCUUCGGGUUGUAAAGUACUUUCAGCGGGGAGGAAGGGAGUAAAGUUAAUACCUUUGCUCAUUGGCGUUACCCGCAGAAGAAGCACCGGCUAACUCCGUGCCAGCAGCCGCGGUAAUACGGAGGGUGCAAGCGUUAAUCGGAAUUACUGGGCGUAAAGCGCACGCAGGCGGUUGAUUGAGUCAGAUGUGAAAUCCCCGGGCUUAACCCGGGAAUUGCAUCUGAUACUGGUCAGCUAGAGUCUUGUAGAGGGGGGUAGAAUUCCAUGUGUAGCGGUGAAAUGCGUAGAGAUGUGGAGGAAUACCGGUGGCGAAGGCGGCCCCCUGGACAAAGACUGACGCUCAGGUGCGAAAGCGUGGGGAGCAAACAGG
rnacentral:rRNA from 1 species